rnacentral:rRNA from 1 species
UGCAAGUCGUACGAGAGUUUUUAACUCUAGUGGCGGACGGGUGAGUAACACGUGAGAAUUUGCCUUUAGGAGGGGGACAACAAUUGGAAACGAAUGCUAAUACCCCAUAUGCUUUCGAGUAAAAUGGAUUUUAUCUGCCUAAAGAGAAGCUCGCGGCUGAUUAGCUUGUUGGUAAGGUAAAAGCUUACCAAGGCGACGAUCAGUAUCUGGUUUGAGAGGACGAUCAGACACACUGGAACUGAGACACGGUCCAGACUCCUACGGGAGGCAGCAGUGGGGAAUUUUCCGCAAUGGGCGAAAGCCUGACGGAGCAAUACCGCGUGAGGGAAGACUGCCUAUGGGUUGUAAACCUCUUUUUUCAGGGAGGAAUAAAAUGACGUGUACCUGAAGAAUAAGCAUCGGCUAACUCCGUGCGGGGAGCCGCGGUAAGACGGAGGAUGCAAGUGUUAUCCGGAAUCACUGGGCGUAAAGCGUCUGUAGGUGGUUUAAUAAGUCAACUGUUAAAUCUUGAGGCUCAACUUCAAAAUCGCAGUCGAAACUAUUAGACUAGAGUAUAGUAGAGGUAAAGGGAAUUUCCAGUGGAGCGGUGAAAUGCGUAGAGAUUGGAAAGAGCACCGAUGGCGAAAGCACUUUACUGGGCUAUUACUAACACUCAGAGACGAAAGCUCGGGUAGCAAAUGGGAUUAGAUACCCCAGUAGU